CACAAACACACAACAAAAUAACAAUUGGAUAAGGAAAUGAUUCAAUGACGAAUAAAUAUUAACAAAAUGCUGUACACAGUUUUUGUUAAUCAAAAUCUCAAUUGAUAGAUUGAUGAAAGGUUUUGACAACUCUGUGAACUUAAUACGAUUUGGUUGAAUGUGUUUGCAUGCGUGCGUGUGUAUUGGUUAGAGUAAAUCAUGGUACAAAUAAAGCAGAUCGCACGCACACAUUCAAUGUGCUGAACAUAAGCCACAUUUUCGAUAAACGGAACAAAAGAUCGCUUGUUAUGACUGCGUGUUGGCUGGUAAAUACAUAUACAGAUGAUCGAGUCACUUUAUCGUUGCUAUACUCAUUCACACAGACUGUGAUAAUUGAUGGAAAUACAUGCAACGAUUUGAAAUAGCAUACUACAUGCCACAUACUUAGGAUAAAAAAUAUGAUUUUCCUCAUAAAUUUCAAUGGAUUAGACUCGACGUCUAAAGGAAAGUAUAUUUCUCGAUUUAUAUUUCUGAAAAAGGAUGUAUGUUUGUGUUUGGUGAUUCAGUUUGCUUUAAAGGAAUUCGCGGAAUCGAUGAGAAGAUAACAGUUUGGUGUCUGCAGCAAAAUUAUGACAAUUUAUUCGAAGACCCCACAAUUGUUCUGUCUUAUCAGUUUUGGAAAAACGCAAAAAUACGACGAAAACUUACAUUUUUUUUAACAUUUCAAGUUGCAAUGAAACUUAACAAGCUCAGAUUCAAUAACUAGCUUCACUGAUCAGUUUGAACAAAACACAGUGAAUAAAUCGUAAUCCGAUAGCAAUACAUUGCUUCUUAUGGAGGCUGAAUGGAUGGAUCUUUGUAAGGGCGCCUCUAGUGAAAAUAUCUUAGAAUGAUGGAAUAUUUCGAACUUUAAUACGCUUUUCUCCUAAUUUAUCCAAACUCACCUCUUAAGUGGUAUAUUAAAACCAAUAAAUAUUUACACAUCGAAAUAUCUCGAAAACGGCUGGGAA